UGGGGAAUAUUGCACAAUGGGCGCAAGCCUGAUGCAGCCAUGCCGCGUGUAUGAAGAAGGCCUUCGGGUUGUAAAGUACUUUCAGUCGGGAGGAAGGUGGUAAGGUUAAUAACCUUGGCAAUUGACGUUACCGACAGAAGAAGCACCGGCUAACUCCGUGCCAGCAGCCGCGGUAAUACGUAGGUGGCAAGCGUUGUCCGGAUUUAUUGGGCGUAAAGCGAGCGCAGGCGGUUUCUUAAGUCUGAUGUGAAAGCCCCCGGCUCAACCGGGGAGGGUCAUUGGAAACUGGGAGACUUGAGUGCAGAAGAGGAGAGUGGAAUUCCAUGUGUAGCGGUGAAAUGCGUAGAUAUAUGGAGGAACACCAGUGGCGAAGGCGGCUCUCUGGUCUGUAACUGACGCUGAGGCUCGAAAGCGUGGGGAGCAAACAGG
rnacentral:rRNA from 1 species